GCUGAAAGGGGCGUCUCCUGACCAAUUUUAACUAAAAUAUUGCUCUGCAACAUUUCAUACAAUCUGGUUCUAUGCUCCUGUCGGAAUGUAUAGGGGCUGUUCCUGUAAUUAAAAUUUCGCAUUGGUUAGGCAUAAAUCUUAUCUAGACGACUUAGCUGGGGAGCGGGUACUGUACGUGUUAGAGCUGAUCCAUUCAGCGAUUCACUGAGGUUCAUCCCGUUUUCUAUGAUUUAGUUUAAUCCCUC
rnacentral:rRNA from 1 species